GUUUCCCCCUUUCCUCUUCCCAUCUUCCCCACGUCUGUUUCAGAAAACAGAAUACACCAGAAUUCCCAAGAAACAGAUGCGCGACUUGCCCAAACGCGACGGAAAACCCCUCUCUCACCCGCGUCUCCCCCCCCCCUCCACGCUCUCUCCCUCUCUCCCAAACUCCCUCCCUCGCGCAGAAUCCCCCAAACGAAACCCAAAAAAGGCAAAAAAGAAAAAAAAACGCAGAAGAGGCAGACCCCAAAGCGGAAAAUCCCCCCCAGACGCGACCUCUCUCCCCUUCGCUCUCCUCCUCUCUCUCACGCGAGCUGCAACAGCUCUUUUCGAGUCAUUUUUUUGCUGCAAAUCGUACGAUUCACGCAGGUCAGGCAGCAAAGGAAAGCUUCUCUUGUCCUUGCCACGCCAAGAUGACUCCACGUCGCCCGCCUAGGACACUCGACUGAUCUCGACCGUCUCUCCUUCCUUUCCGUUUGUGGAAUGGGAGGAAUUUUCAGAAAAAAGGGAUGCUACUCUGUUAGGGGAAAAGGAUUUCGAAUUUGAAAUUCAAAAUGGGCCUCAAGUCACGUUCCCGCCCUCCCUCUUUUGAAAACCCUAAUAUCGCCCUAUAUAAACCCCUUCCGUCUUCAAGAAAAGGGGUUAGAGAUUUUUAUCAAAAAUUUCAGAGAGGCAGAACUUGGGUUUGGAAUUUCGGACGAAAAUUUUAGUUGGAACUUGGUCGAAAACAUCGUUUGUUCGGUCUGUUCUGGGGUUGGCGAUUUGGGUUUAAAAUCUUGGACAAAAAUUUGAGUUGAAAUUUCGUGUCUACUGUUUAGCUAGGAAGAAGAAGAAGGAGUGCUUCCCUGCUGGUUUCGUGUGUGGAAUCGCCCCUCUACUCAUCAUCCCGUUCGCUGCUCCGAAGAAGGUACGUUUCCCACUUUGAUUAGUUUUCAUGGAACUCGAAAUGUGACCUGUGUUGCUGUAAUAAGAUGGCAUAUCUGUCGGUUUUGCCCGAACUCAAGAAUAUCGCGUAUGAUGGCUUAUUUCGUUGUGCUUGCCUGCUUGUGUUGAUAUUUUUUUAAAGUUCGUCAUGGUGUACUGCGAGCUGUAAUUCUGUUCAGUUGUGUAUGUUGGCUGGUUAGUCGUUGCGUUGAUUGUUGCAAUGUUAUCAACCGAAUUUUCUGUUCAUUUGCAUGAUUGUUGAUUCGAUUUCGUCAAUCUUUCUGAAUGUGUUGUUCUCUUGUCAUGUUGUCGAUCUGUUCAUGUUGUUAUGGACGUUGUCAUUUCUCUUGGUGUUAGCUAUUGGUUUUCGACGAGGUAGAUGGGAGCUUUGAAUCCAUUUCCCAUUCUUAAAGUUUUAUUCAUGUUUCUUUAAGUGUUGAGUCAUGUCAUACGUCAAAUCGCUUAUAAAUGGUCUCAGUUGUUGGUUUAGUUUGAUGCCGGUCAAGUUGGUUGAAAUAUCGCUUUGGUUUGUUUAUACUCUUGUUUUGAUCAGUUAGCGAUGUUCCUUUCAUCGAAAUGGAGAAAUCGAAAUUCGUGUUUUAUCUCUUGUAUGGUUAGUUGAUGUAGUAGUUAGUUUCCUCCGAAUCCCACGAUCAGGCUACUAUCUAGCAUACCCUAUUUCAUCUUGUUUCAUUGUCGUUUUGUUUGUUUCCUUAAAGUCAGUUAUGUAUGUCAUCUGGAUUGUCGCGGCUGUAUAUUAAAAUUUGUAUGAUGACGAAUGGGUUUAGCUAAGUCAUUUUUUAUCAAAUGCACCAAAUCAUUUUCGAAUGUCGAGGUAUUUUCCCUUUUUUUAUUUCAUGGGGGUAGAGAAGCGGUUGUUUGAGUCUCUUUAUCAUGAGGCUCAACCUUUUGCUUGCCUCUCUUCUGGGUUCAUCUGUAAACAAUUUAUGUAUGUAGGUGUGAGCAGUAGGUACUUAAGUUGAAUAUGCCUCUUCAAAUGUAUAAGCUAUGAUUUUAAUGUUUUACUGUCCCACCAUCUAGGCUUGUGUUCUGAUGAUUGAAAUUGUAUUCAUUCUUGGUUUUCCAAAAUUUUAGGAAGUUCUCUUGAUUGUUUCGUCUUGAAUAAUGCUAGUAGUUGGAUUUACCUGCCCAUGUCUCUUCUUUAUGUGACUUAAGUUAAAAAUAGUAUAUCAUUGUAUGUAUUUUCCGUUGGAAGUUGAUUAUUAGACUUAACAUCUAAAGAGUUCAUGUUCUUUUCUUACUUCUUUUGUGUUUAAUUUCAUGUGAAAUUCCUUCCGAGUCCAUUUUAGGAUUCCACUCCGUUCUUGCAUUGCAGGAGAGCCAUAAAGGCUCAGAAAUUUUGUCCAUCGAGUCAACCCGUCGAAGCCAAGGAUCGCGAAGACGUAUUGAAGAGUUGAAGAAAGUCAAAGAACGGAUUGGAAGGCUUCUCCGUUUUUUUUUUUUGCAUUUUAUUUGUAAAGGGCAUAAGCCCUCUUGUCGUUUUUUUUUUACUUUCUUAUUUUAUUUUGUAUGUUUAGAAUAGGACAAGUACAAAACGGGUCAAAUACCCAUAAGCAGGUGGGUCUAACAUUCGGUCAACGCGAACAGAACCCAAGUUGGACCCAAA
rnacentral:lncRNA from 1 species